ACAGCAUCAAGACAACCAUUCACCAGCAAUAGGAACAAGGAUUGAGACAAGUAAUGAAGAUGAAAACCCAAAGUGAAGGAAGUUAAACAUGCCCCAAUUGUUGCAUGACUAAUGAGAUAGCAGCAAAGACCAACAUAAAAAGACUACAAGCAGUUUACUAGAAAGUACCACACAGAGCACCCUGGAGUCAUAUGGGCUCAUCCGUGAGGACCAUGAAGAUUGUAAGUACACACCCUGAAUUCUUAGCUUUACUGCCAGAAUAAGAUGCCCACAUCCCCAGACUUCCCGGCUGGCCAGGGAGCUCCGUGUGUUUCGGAAGCCUGCUUCUCAGUGUGAAGGAUGAGGGGUUCUAUGUCUUCUUGAGCUUCCUUCAGUCAGUCCGUUUGCGAGCUGCAGGGUGGCUAAGAAAGCAAUUCAUUAUGAGAAGAAAGUGCCACUGGCUUACAGUGUUUAGCUAAGCAUCAGUGAACUGUAGCAGCGUGGCACCAUGCAACUAUAAAGGUUUUGGAAUUUCACUCCAGGCCUCCUAGAUGGGCCCUAGAUACUCAGCAAGAAGGCACAAUAUUGCCCAUGAUGAUGACCAUCCCGCACCUGUCUGCAACAAUUUUUAUUCAUUCCAAAGGAAUCCAGAGAUAAGCUACAACAUACCUCCACCUCUAACCUUCUAGUAUUCAAAUUCCUGUGGGAAAUUUUCAGGAGCAGCACCAAAGACAUCAGAACUUGGGAGGAAAUAGAUAUACAUUAUGACCUUCAAUCCUGAACAUCCCCACCAAGUAAACAACGGAAACAUUUCCAGAAAGAGCCUGUUUAAUACAUAUGGACAUGUUUUAUAUUCACUACAAGAACCCAAAGGACAAAGAGACUAGCCACUUAGAGUAACUUUAACAAAAUCUUACUCAAUCAAAAGUGUUAAUUUAAAUCAAGAGACUGAUGUAUAUAGAGUUCAUAUCCUCAAAGUUAUGGGAGCAGGCAUUAGGCAAAUAAUGUAAGACAAAUAUUUAGCCAAAAAAUACUACAUAAAAAUAUGUGAAAUGAAUGCUAUAAAGAAUAUGGCUGAAGACCACAGGGAGAUUUCCUGAUGACCAGAGAAAAAUCAAAAGGCUAAAAUAAGGAGGACGAGAGAACAGAAUGUAUUUGCUUUGAUCAUUGCAACAAGCCCCUCCUCCUGGCCCUGUGAAGUACAGGUAGGGACAUUCAGGCAUUUGGGUUCAUGGCACCCUCCAUGACCCUGGACGUGGAGUUUGAACACCUAUAGACCCUGCCCUGCUCAGAUAGCCCAUGAAACUGUCGCAGUUAUCCAAAUCACUAUAAGAAAUGGCAGUAAACAGUUCUCUUCAUUGCAUAUUUAGAAAAUAAUUUGUUACAAUCAAUAUAAAAUAUCAUCCUUAUCCUGGAUUGUCCAGGGAGACCACUGUCAGAAAAGUGAUUAAAGAGAAAAAAGAACAGGGAAGGGGAAAUGGAGAUGACAAUCAGAUUAACAUGAGCCGAUUCUGUAGCCAAAGGGAGUCCUGCCUCUCACUGACAUCGAACAAGGUCUCCACACUGAAAGAUACAUACCUACCUGUUUGAAAAUUGAAAGUCUAAGUUCAACAUUCAGGGUUGUCCACAAUAAGGUGUUCUUAACCUUGUAUUACUAACAAAAGUCCUCAUAACUUUACCUGGAAACACUAAGUGAGAAGAAAAAUACAAUAAAAAUCCCCACAUAUCCUCUUAGCAUCCCAGUGCAGACAUGUGCGAGUCAUAUUAUGGACACAUUUGUACACAUUUAAGUGUCAAAUACAUAGGCACAACUGCCUUAAUAUAGACUGAUACAUAAAGAACCAUGAAAUAUCUUCCUCCUGGAUUCUGCCACCAACUAAAGGAGAAAUACACCAAUUGUAUGCUAAUUAUUCCAAACAAUAUUUUAAAAACACAUUUUUCCAAAUGACACUCUUCCCAAUCAACUAAGUGGAUUGACUUAGACAACCCAGCGCAUUCUCAAAUUCUCCAUCCUAGAG
rnacentral:lncRNA from 1 species